GGCCGCAUAACUCAGUGGUAGAGUGCGUGAUUCCAGCUCUUCCACGAAGUCAUCCGUUCGACUCGGGUUGUGGUCA